rnacentral:rRNA from 1 species
UACGUAGGGUGCGAGCGUUAAUCGGAAUCACUGGGCUUAAAGGGUGCGUAGGCGGUGCAGUAAGUUGGGUGUGAAAUCCCUCGGCUUAACCGAGGAACUGCGCCCAAAACUACUGUGCUUGAGGGAGAUAGAGGUGAGCGGAACUGAGGGUGGAGCGGUGAAAUGCGUUGAUAUCCUCAGGAACACCCGUGGCGAAAGCGGCUCACUGGGUCUCUUCUGACGCUGAGGCACGAAAGCUAGGGGAGCAAACGGG